AUGAGUAGCACUCUGUGAGGGAACCAGCUCUGGUGACAGGACAGACUAUCCUGGGUGUCACACUAGGCAGAAACAAAGCCCCAGACUCUCACCAGCUGCACUCAAGAGAGCGACGAUGAGAAAACCCUUCACCGCAGACUGAUCUCGCCAGGAACAGACAAGUUGAUCAAGAUGUAAGCUGUCCCAAUCUUUAGUCCAAGUGUCCUUGCCAAGAACAGCUGUGGAGAUUAUGGGCAGAAGACAGAUGAGAGGAGAGCAGUCUUCACAUGAGUCCUUAUCAAGACCCAAAUAUAUACAGCAUUGCUGGGAGCCGUCUCUGAUGUGGGUGAGAGUGGCACAGACCAAGCCAAGGUCCUGGUGCCUCCUUU
rnacentral:lncRNA from 1 species